rnacentral:rRNA from 1 species
AUUGAACGCUGGCGGCAUGCUUUACACAUGCAAGUCGAACGGCAGCGCGGGCUUCGGCCUGGCGGCGAGUGGCGAACGGGUGAGUAAUGCAUCGGAACGUGCCCAGUAGUGGGGGAUAGCCCGGCGAAAGCCGGAUUAAUACCGCAUACGACCUGAGGGUGAAAGCGGGGGACCGAAAGGCCUCGCGCUAUUGGAGCGGCCGAUGUCGGAUUAGCUAGUUGGUGGGGUAAAGGCUUACCAAGGCGACGAUCCGUAGCUGGUCUGAGAGGACGACCAGCCACACUGGGACUGAGACACGGCCCAGACUCCUACGGGAGGCAGCAGUGGGGAAUUUUGGGCAAUGGGGGCAAACCUGAUCCAGCCAUGCCGCGUGCGGGAAGAAGGCCUUCGGGUUGGAAACCGCUUUUGUUCGGGAAGAAAUCCUCUUGGCUAAUACCCCGGGGGGAUGACGGUACCGGAAGAAUAAGCACCGGCUAACUACGUG